rnacentral:rRNA from 1 species
CAUCGCCGCGGGAAUACGUAGGGUGCGAGCGUUGUCCGGAAUUACUGGGCGUAAAGAGCUCGUAGGUGGUUUGUCGCGUCGUCUGUGAAAUUCCGGGGCUUAACUCCGGGCGUGCAGGCGAUACGGGCAUAACUUGAGUGCUGUAGGGGAGACUGGAAUUCCUGGUGUAGCGGUGAAAUGCGCAGAUAUCAGGAGGAACACCGAUGGCGAAGGCAGGUCUCUGGGCAGUGACUGACGCUGAGGAGCGAAAGCAUGGGUAGCGAACAGGAUUAGAACCCGAGUAGUCCCUGUCUCUUAUACA